rnacentral:rRNA from 2 species
GAACGAACGCUGGCGGCAUGCCUAACACAUGCAAGUCGAACGAACCCUUCGGGGUUAGUGGCGCACGGGUGCGUAACGCGUGGGAACCUGCCUUUAGGUUCGGAAUAACAGUGAGAAAUUACUGCUAAUACCGGAUGAUGUCUUCGGACCAAAGAUUUAUCGCCUUUAGAUGGGCCCGCGUUGGAUUAGCUAGUUGGUGGGGUAAAGGCCUACCAAGGCGACGAUCCAUAGCUGGUCUGAGAGGAUGAUCAGCCACACUGGGACUGAGACACGGCCCAGACUCCUACGGGAGGCAGCAGUGGGGAAUAUUGGACAAUGGGCGAAAGCCUGAUCCAGCAAUGCCGCGUGAGUGAUGAAGGCCUUAGGGUUGUAAAGCUCUUUUACCCGAGAUGAUAAUGACAGUAUCGGGAGAAUAAGCUCCGGCUAACUCCGUGCCAGCAGCCGCGGUAAUACGGAGGGAGCUAGCGUUGUUCGGAAUUACUGGGCGUAAAGCGCACGUAGGCGGCUUUUUAAGUCAGGGGUGAAAUCCCGGGGCUCAACCCCGGAACUGCCCUUGAAACUGGGAAGCUAGAAUCUUGGAGAGGCGAGUGGAAUUCCGAGUGUAGAGGUGAAAUUCGUAGAUAUUC